UACGUAGGGUGCGAGCGUUAUUCGGAAUUACUGGGCGUAAAGCGUGCGCAGGCGGUCCGCAAAGUCUGAUGUGAAAGCCCCGGGCUCAACCUGGGAACUGCAUUGGAAACUAACGGGCUCGAGUGUGGCAGAGGGGGGUGGAAUUCCAAGUGUAGCAGUGAAAUGCGUAGAGAUGUGGAGGAACACCGAUGGCGAAGGCAGCCACCUGGGCUAACACUGACGCUCAGGCACGAAAGCGUGGGGAGCAAACAGG
rnacentral:rRNA from 1 species